rnacentral:tmRNA from 1 species
GGGGUCGACUGGAAUUGACAGUAUGACAAAUUUUAUUUUUGCAUGUCGGGUGAAGGUAACAUCCGUAAUUAAAUACAAAUUUUUUAUAAACGGCGAACGUAAAUACGAUUACGCUAUGGCAGUUUAAGUUCCAAGAAUUUAAAUAACCACAUCAUUUUUAGUUUUGGUCUUCAACUAAUUAAUAUGAUGUCAUAAGAAGAUCUACCAUAUAUUUUUUUCUACGGUCAUAUAUGGGAAUUUAAGUAGAUAAGGAUAGAAGUUGGUUGAUAUUUCCCUGCUCUAUCACGAAAAUUAAAAAUUAUCUAAGCAUGUAGACGGGAUAUUAUUUCCAUAUCUGGACGCGGGUUCGAAUCCCGCCGACUCCACAA